AACGAACGCUGGCGGCAUGCCUAACACAUGCAAGUCGAACGAAGCCUUCGGGCUUAGUGGCGCACGGGUGCGUAACGCGUGGGAAUCUGCCCUUGGGUUCGGAAUAACAGUUAGAAAUGACUGCUGAUACCGAAUGAUGUCUUCGGACCAAAGAUUUAUCGCCCAAGGAUGAGCCCGCGUCGGAUUAGCUAGUUGGUGAGGUAAAGGCUCACCAAGGCGACGAUCCUUAGCUGGUCUGAGAGGAUGAUCAGCCACACUGGGACUGAGACACGGCCCAGACUCCUACGGGAGGCAGCAGUGGGGAAUAUUGGACAAUGGGCGAAAGCCUGAUCCAGCUAUGCCGCGUGAGUGAUGAAGGCCUUAGGGUUGUAAAGCUCUUUUACCCGGGAUGAUAAUGACAGUACCGGGAGAAUAAGCUCCGGCUAACUCCGUGCCAGCAGCCGCGGUAAU
rnacentral:rRNA from 1 species